CUUUCCUGUAUUCUCUGGCGCCAAAAUUCAAACAGUAUUCGUGCUCGCAAAAUGUACUCACAGUCACAGGAGCUCCUCCGAGACUAGUACCAUGAAAAUGAGGAAGAAGAAGAAGCUUCGAAGUGUCUCCGACAACGUGCUCAGAGGGCCACAAAUCCACGCUCUUCCUCCGAACCAAGCAAGGCGGCUCUAUCUGCUUGCUCUGCUUCUCCAACCUCAUCUCCAACCCCCAAUCACCGUCCACGUGUCCUGCGCCCUCUCUCAGCUCUCUCAGGCCAUCUCCUCCGACCCCCCUUUCCUCCGCUCUCUCCUCGCCUUCCACCCUUACUUCCUCGUCUCGCCUCUCGUUCAUGCUCUCUUCCUUCGACGACGACCCCAUCACACGACAAAUCGUCCAUCUCAUUUCCGCUCUCUGUGAAUCAGCCGCUGCCUCCCUCUCUGCUGACUUCGUCGCUAGGGUUUCCUUCUGCCUCUCUUCUGGUGCCUUGGCCUGGAGUCGCCGUCAGCUUUAUACGGCAGCAUAUUAAAAAGAGAGAGAAUGCAGUUAUUUUACACAUUGCAGGCCUGCAGAAAACAGAAGUACACUAACAACAGUCAAGAUGAAA